rnacentral:lncRNA from 1 species
GCACAAUGAAAGUCUCUAUUAAUUUCCUUGUGUGCUAUAUUUUUCUUUCAUAAAUCACGCAAACCACGCGCAUACUAUGAUAAAUAAAUAACUGAAAAGCCUCAUGCAAACAAAAUGCAUGAUAAUAUCGACUAAAAAUAUAUGAUAUAUCAUGUAUAUAUAUAUAUAUAUGAUAUAUCAUGUAAAAAGAUUUGUGUGCUGCAAUGAAGUAUGUACCAUACCGUUGUGUGGUCUGUUUUUUGUAUUUUACUAAAAAUAUAAUGUGAGUGAAUUGUGGGCAAAGUCGUCCCAUGUGUAGUAACCAGUUGAGUAUAUG